CUUGCGGCACAGUAGCAAGUCCAGCGAGAAGGACGGUUGUGUUUGACCACAUGCAACCACUUUGAAUUUUUUUAAUGUUUUUAGUUUGAACUUCAUUCAUGAAGCGAGUGUGGGAGAAGUAACCUUGACAACAGAGAAGGAAGUACGGUGAUGGCAUUGACAUCGGUUGAUGCGACGGAGUGGUCAGUGAGCGACGACAACGAAAUGAUGCAGUUCUGGUGAUAUUGGAUGGCGAAGGGUGCAUCGACGCUUGACUACUGGACACUGUCCAAAAUUAAAUGGCUUCACUCAUUGAACGAAUGAAAUGAGAUAUAUUUUAUUCUGACAACAUCAGUUGGUGGACUUUACUGAAAAUAAGCAGAACUCCAAAACUGUUGAAUAUUUCUCGUUGAAACUUGCUAUACAGAUCGGUCGAGUGGGGAACUAGUGCCUUUAGAUGAUUUGGGAUUUUGAAAAGUGUUGAUAAAUACCUAUUGCGAGGAUCGAUGCUCAUGAUAUUAAUCACUGGAUUGUCUGGUCCAGAGUCGAUUAUUUACAGACCGCCGUCAUAUAGCUGGAAUAUUGCUGAGUGCGGCGUUAAACAACAAACCAACCAACCAACGAUAAAUACUUUCUUCUUUACUAACUGAAGGUAUUCAAUGGCAAUGAACCAAAUGACUAGCCAAACUCUUAUCUGAAUUGCACCAGACCGGGGGAUAUGUCAUCUCCUGAUGACUCUUGUUUAUUAAUUUGGAAACCCCGCGCUGACAUCAUCGAAGGCAAUUUGGACCAGAAAUUGAUAAAUAUUGGUUCAUCACGCGGACGUCAGAGGAGACGAGAUGUGAAGUUACUGUUAACAAAUGUCGCAUGUCUGUUGCUGUGUCACGAUACAAGAAGAAGAAAUGAUUUCUUGUGCGUGUCACAGUAACAAAACAUGGUCAUAUAGAACGUCUCGAUUGAAGCAAAGCAAGAAGACCUACCGAAAGAUCAAUAAUAAGGAAAUGUUGUUGUGGACGACAUCGCUAGAUCAGCGAAGACACACAAAUUAUGAUAUUAUGAUGUCAGUGGGUUUUUAUAUACAGUUUUCUUGUAAAUAUGUUCGUAAUGAUCUUUCCGAAUAAAUGUUCAGAUUUUUUGUUGAA